rnacentral:rRNA from 1 species
GACGAACGCUGGCGGCGUGCCUAAUACAUGCAAGUCGAACGCAGUGGGGCCGGGUGAGUAACACGUGGGUAACCUCCCAUCAGAGGGGAUAACACUUGGAAACAGGUGCUAAACCGAUACUGAUGGAUGGACCCGCGGUGCAUUAGCUAGUUGGUGAGGUAACGGCUCACCAAGGCCACGAUGCAUAGCCGACCUGAGAGGGUGAUCGGCCACACUGGGACUGAGACACGGCCCAGACUCCUACGGGAGGCAGCAGUAGGGAAUCUUCGGCAAUGGUCGAAAGUCUGACCGAGGAAAGCCGCGUGAGUGAAGAAGGUUUGCGGAUCGUAAGACUCUGUUGUGAAAAAGGCGGUAUCUAACCAGAGAGCCACUGGUCAGUACGUGUAAGCAGCCGCGGUAAUUC